rnacentral:rRNA from 1 species
CGUAGGUAAUCUACCCCAGAGUCAGGAAUAACCUGCCGAAAGGCGGGCUAAUACUAGAUAGAGCGAUGGAAUCCGUAAUUGGGUUUUUCGGGAAAGGGAGGCUGUAAGGCCCCUCGCUUUGGGAUGAGCCUGCGUCUCAUUAGCUAGUUGGUAAGGUAACGGCUUACCAAGGCAUUGAUGGGUAGCUGGUCUGAGAGGAUGAUCAGCCACACUGGAACUGAAACACGGUCCAG